rnacentral:rRNA from 1 species
UACGGAGGGUGCGAGCGUUAUCCGGAUUCACUGGGUUUAAAGGGUGCGUAGGUGGGCAGGUAAGUCAGUGGUGAAAUCUCCGGGCUUAACCCGGAAACUGCCAUUGAUACUAUCUGUCUUGAAUACCCUGGAGGUGAGCGGAAUAUGUCAUGUAGCGGUGAAAUGCUUAGAUAUGACAUAGAACACCCAUUGCGAAGGCAGCUCACUACGGGAAUAUUGACACUGAGGCACGAAAGCGUGGGGAUCAAACAGG